GUACAGCUGACGAGUCCCAAACAAGACGAAACAGCUUUCCAAUGCAC
rfam:Echinostoma caproni strain Egypt genome assembly, scaffold: ECPE_scaffold0004701